AUAUUUACCUGGCAGGGGAGAUAGCAUGGUCACUAAGGUGUUCUUCCCAGGUUGAGGCCUAUCCAUUGUACUCGGGAUGCGCUGACUCCUGUGAUUUCCCCAAAUGUGGGAAACAUGACUGCAUAAUUUGUUCUAGUGGAAGACUGUCUUCUUGCUUUCCCCAA
rfam:Ictidomys tridecemlineatus contig054997, whole genome shotgun sequence.